rnacentral:misc_RNA from 1 species
AACUUUCGAAAAUGGAUCUCUUGGUUCUGGCAUCGAUGAAGAACGCAGCGAAAUGCGAUAAGUAAUGCGAAUUGCAGAAUUCAGUGAGUCAUCGAAUCUUUGAACGCAUAUUGCGCCCUUUGGUAUUCCGAAGGGCAUGCCUGUUCGAGCGUCAUUAUCAACCAUCAAGCCUGGCUUGUCGUUGGACCCAUUUGCAGCUGAAAUAUGCGGCAGGUCCGAAAGAUAAUGACGGCGUCGUGUUUGACCCUAGAUGCAACGAGCUUUUUAUAGCACGCAUUGAAGUGGUUGACCGACCCGGUCUUUAACCAUCAUUUUUCUAAGGUUGACCUCGGAUCAGGUAGGAAUACCCGCUGAACUUAAGCAUAUCAAUAAGCGGAGGCU